rnacentral:rRNA from 1 species
UACGUAGGGAGCAAGCGUUGUCCGGAAUUACUGGGCGUAAAGGGUGCGUAGGCGGCUUGGUAAGUCAGAUGUGAAAUACCCGUGCUUAACAUGGGGGGUGCAUCUGAUACUGUCAGGCUUGAGUGCAGGAGAGGAAAGCGGAAUUCCUAGUGUAGCGGUGAAAUGCAUAGAUAUUAGGAGGAACACCAGUGGCGAAGGCGGCUUUCUGGACUGUAACUGACGCUGAGGCACGAAAGCGUGGGGAGCAAGCAGG